rnacentral:rRNA from 1 species
GAUGAACGCUGGCGGCGUGCCUAAUACAUGCAAGUCGAGCGAACAGACGAGGAGCUUGCUCCUCUGACGUUAGCGGCGGACGGGUGAGUAACACGUGGAUAACCUACCUAUAAGACUGGGAUAACUUCGGGAAACCGGAGCUAAUACCGGAUAAUAUAUUGAACCGCAUGGUUCAAUAGUGAAAGACGGUUUUGCUGUCACUUAUAGAUGGAUCCGCGCCGCAUUAGCUAGAUGGUAAGGUAACGGCUUACCAAGGCAACGAUGCGUAGCCGACCUGAGAGGGUGAUCGGCCACACUGGAACUGAGCCACGGUCAAGACUCCUACGGGAGGCAGCAGUAGGGAAUCUUCCGCAAUGGGCGAAAGCCUGACGGAGCAACGCCGCGUGAGUGAUGAAGGUCUUCGGAUCGUAAAACUCUGUUAUUAGGGAAGAACAAAUGUGUAAGUAACUAUGCACGUCUUGACGGUACCUAAUCAGAAAGCCACGGCUAACUACGUG